rnacentral:rRNA from 1 species
UGAGCAAUCUGCCCUUCACUUCGGGAUAACUCCAGGAAACCGGUGCUAAUACCGAAUACGACCACCUCAGGCAUCUGAUGGUGGUGGAAAGUUCCGGCGGUGGAGGAUGAGCUCGCGGCCUAUCAGCUUGUUGGUGGGGUAAUGGCCCACCAAGGCGACGAUAAGUAGCUGGUCUGAGAGGAUGAUCAGCCACACUGGGACUGAGACACGGCCCAGAUCCCGUAACGGGG